rnacentral:rRNA from 1 species
UACGUAGGGGGCAAGCGUUGUCCGGAAUUACUGGGCGUAAAGAGCUCGUAGGUGGUUUGUCGCGUUGUCCGUGAAAACUCACAACUCAAUUGUGGGCGUGCGGCGAUACGGGCAGACUGGAGUACUGCAGGGGAGACUGGAAUUCCUGGUGUAGCGGUGGAAUGCGCAGAUAUCAGGAGGAACACCGGUGGCGAAGGCGGGUCUCUGGGCAGUAACUGACGCUGAGGAGCGAAAGCGUGGGGGAGCGAACAGG